GACGAACGCUGGCGGCGUGCUUAACACAUGCAAGUCGAACGGUAAGGCCCCAGCUUGCUGGGGUACACGAGUGGCGAACGGGUGAGUAACACGUGGGUGACCUGCCCCGCACUUCGGGAUAAGCCUGGGAAACUGGGUCUAAUACCGGAUAGGACCGCACCGUGAGGGUGUGGUGGAAAGUUUUUCGGUGUGGGAUGGGCCCGCGGCCUAUCAGCUUGUUGGUGGGGUAAUGGCCUACCAAGGCGGCGACGGGUAGCCGGCCUGAGAGGGUGGACGGCCACAUUGGGCCUGGGGAGCGGCCCGGGGCCCUACGGGGGGAAGCGGUGGGGAAUUUUGCAAAAGGGGCGGAGGCCUGAGCGAGGGACGCCGGGUGGGGGAUACCGGCCUUCGGGUUGGAAACUCCUUUCCCCAUCAACGAAGGUUUUUGGACGGUAAUUGGGAAAGAAGCCCCGGCAAAUUACGG
rnacentral:rRNA from 1 species